GGGGGUGAACAGGUUUCGACUUUCAAAUUAUGUAUCAGUGGCAUGCAGAGGUUGAUCGGUUGGCCUCUUUAAAAGCCGAUUAAAAUAUAAUUGCUGACCAAGAAUACGCGUUAGCGGCAUAAGGACCUAACAGUCUGGAUUGCCCGGUAGCCUAAAAUCUGACCUGGAGUUUUAGUCACUACCGUCAUGUUUCUGGGUUUGGACUCUUACCUCUGAUCCUCUGGUAAGAAAAUCCGAGACAACGAGGAUUAAAUCGGUCCCAAGUGGGGCUCCUUUCAUCAAGACCGAUUACUAAUAAAGGAGAUAAGCAUGUAGUCAUUGGUAUUGUAGUUUGUUAAGGACGAGAGUUCGAUUCUCUCCACCUCCAAUU
rnacentral:tmRNA from 1 species